AACGUAGGAGACAAACGUUAUCCGGAGUUACUGGGCGUAAAGGGCGUGUAGGCGGUUUGUUAAGUCUGGCGUGAAAGCUCUCGGCUAAACCGGGAGAGGUCGUUGGAUACUGGCGAACUAGAGGAUGGUAGAGGCGUGUGGAAUUCCGGGUGUAGUGGUGAAAUGCGUAGAUAUCGGGAGGAACAUCAGUGGCGAAGGCGGCCUUCUGGUCCAGUACUGACACUCAAGUGCGAAAAGCGUGGGGAGCAAACAGG
rnacentral:rRNA from 1 species